CAGGGUCAAUGUUAUCAGCCAGUCUAUUUGCAAGCAUGUCUUCAGAAGGAAUGAUUAACCCCCAACAUUUUUCUGCCUUUCCUUCGUAAAGCCCUUCAAGAAUAUCACAGCUCCCAAGGUUGCACAGAGUUGCUGGUAAUCCUGUUAACCUUUGGGUUAAUUAAGUAAACUGGAAUCCUUCAUUAGGAGGAACAGCACUAAUUGCAUAUCCCAGACGAGCUGGACUCCCACGGUGCAUCUUACACCUGCUGCAAGCCCCAUGUCAACCCAGGCUCCAGAGGACAAUGACUCCAUCUUUCAGGAGAGACCCGGCAUUGGGCAGGAGGGCUGGGAUUUCCCUUAGAUCCUUACUCUGACCAGUGCUUUUUAUCCUUAAUAUCUCAAGGUGAGCUGGGUCAUCAUCACACAACUGCCAGCCUGGUGACACCUUGGAACAUCAGCAUUAUCUCCACAGGCCUCACUGCUGGAUAGGAGCACCUCUACAGAAAUAACUGCCCCAAAGAGCCGAGUGAGAUUCCGGUGUUGGUGUGGUGCCUUGAUA